rnacentral:lncRNA from 1 species
GUGGGGUACUAAAGAAAUAAAAUAUCUUGACAACCACUAGCGUUGUCUUGUGACUUUAAAAAAAAUCAGCCUGUGAAGUAUCACUGCUCUGUUUUAGUCUAAUGCUACUUCUAUCUUUUAUCCUUUUUAAUUAGAAGGCAAAUUCUCAGACCGCCAGGCCUAAUCCCUACACAGUGGAACAAAGCCCAGCAAAGCCUUUGAACACUGUUCAGCCGGGCAGCACAAACCCCAGUAACUGUUGGCAGUAGGGGCAGGACUCUGACCCUCAUCUCAGCCAUUCUCCUGCAGCUCCUGAUGCUCCCUGCCCUUCAGAACUCUAUCUGUUGUUCUUCUGUUUAGACUGAAAAGACAAAAGAGGAGACAAUGUGGGAAACCUAGAGGAUUGGCUAGGUAGGAUGCAGAGAGCUAGUGAUGGAUAGGGGCAAGUAAAUGGAGUUUCACGGGAAUGGACACAGUGGGGAGAAUUGGAUCACCAGAUUAGGUCUUUAGGUUCAAGAAAUUUCUUCAUCCCUCACUAAAUCUUUUCAUGGACAAUGCCACUUUUUAAACAAUUGUUGCAUUUCCAAUUACUCCAGGAGUGUUCAAACAAAUGCCCCCAAACCCUCCCUGAAAAGUUUGCUUAUAUUUUAAACUUGCCAGAUGAAAAUCAAUAAAACCAACACCCCCAAAAUCAGUGGCAGACACUUAUAUUUCCAAAGUAUUUACACUUGUAAUAGUAGUUGAGUCAAGAGCAUAAUUUCAGCCCACUCAAGCAAAACAGGCAACUAGAUAGAAACGUGUAUUUUUCAAAGCUAAUGGGAGCAAUCAUGAAUCAAAAAGCCAAAUUCCAAGUAUGCAAAUAUGAAAAAGGAUUGUUCGCAUUUCCCACUUUGGCUAACUGUGAAUUAUCGAACAGUGAAACAACAGAUGCUACUACCAUGCCGCAAACUCUUCCAAGUUGUUCUUAGAUUGAGCUACGUAUGUGUGGGAAUUACUGUCUGGUGCCAGGGUGCUUGAGAGUUGUGGGAUUUGUGAAGAAGAUAUGCAUUUUCUGCAUUUUGAGAUAUGUAGGAUAGAUGUUUCAGGGGAAAAAGGGACGGAAAACCAAAAAUCUGUUAUUGGAAACAUUUUUAGCAGUCUCUCCCACCCCUCAAUACAGGUUUCACAAAGCCACUUUCAUUUUUUUCCCCUUCGGAUGUCUACAGAAACACCAGUAAAUGAGUGCUAUACUUAACCCAAUCAUUAUGGUUUUCUUUAUAACCAAAUAUAAAAUGUGUUGCUGAUCUGGCUUUGGGUGAUUAAGAGGUUAAUUUAAAUCAUAGGAAAGGAUUCAGUCAGGGAUUUGGAUGAAUGAUGUUCAAUAAACAUGUGCAUUUAAUCAUAUAAUCUUAAAUUCGAAGUUACAGCCAAGCCCUUCUUAAGGAAGUUCCCAUUUUUAAAGAUCUUGGUAGGACAAAUGUACUGAGUCUUAUAUUUAAAUAAAAUAUGCUUUGGGAAUUUUUAAAAUGUAUAUUUUACAUUGAUUUCUAGCACAUUUGUUCUGAGAAUGUGUUUAUCUUAUUAAAGGGACAGCACUGUAUGUAAUUUUAGUCAAUUUCUAUAUAAUAUCUGUUAUUCAAAUGACAAACCCAAUAUCUUCCUCAGCAUUCUUUUACUUUGCGCUUCAUAGGCAAAUCCUUUCUCUAGGUCAAACAGUGGUAAAAUGUACAAAGAUAAUCAAACACAACUACAGAUAGUAUUUUCUAAGAAUAACACAGUGUUCUGAUAGUCUUCUAUCAGUCUGAUUUUGUGAUUAUCUUAACCUUGGAUAUCUUACAAUAUUAUGAAUACCUACCUAUAUUAAUGCUCUUUCCACACACCUUAUGUUCAUUUUUUUUCUUUUUUUAAUUGAAAACUGAAAAAUUAGGAUACACUAAUUAUUCCGGGGGCUCACCACAGUGAUCACAAUUUGCAAAUGAAAAUACUUUAAAAAUUAAAAAAAAAAAAAACCUCUUCAUAAAGAUAGAAACCCGUUAAAGAAACUGUCUAAAUGUUUGCACACAUUUCACUGUCUAAUGCUCCGAUGGAAAUGAUCAAUAAACAUUUGCAUAAAAAGAGCAGACUCAUUAUGCAUGUGAGUUUUAAUAGUCAUUGGGAAUUUUUGCCUAGUGGGAAAUUAUUUCUUGUCCUGCAUGCACAGGCUGACUUUGGCAGACAUGUUAUGAAAGGCCAUGGACAACAUGUUGUAGUGACAUUUAAUACUACAUUUCCAAAAGAAGCUUCUUGAGACCCAGAGGUAGUCCUGAAAAUGCACAUACACCACAGCUAAACGCAGUUUCCACAAAUCAAACCUGGCAUCACUUCUAUCAGGGAAUGGCUUUUGUGUUUAUUUUUGUCUCCUCAUCACUGUCAUCUACCUACUCACCUUGAUCAUGUAUAUGAAUUAAUUUUAUUAGAAUGGAAUGGGAAAGACUCUAGAUCAGAGGAACCCAAAGCUUUUGAAAACAGCUUUUCUUUUAAGAAACUAAGACUUGCACGAACACUGACAACGCAGUGUACCUUGUUAUUCAACAUGGUUGAAUAUACUCAUUAAUACUUAUUAGAAUGUGAAAAUGAAAACAACUACUAUAUAUCCUAUUUUUCUCUUUCUAAGAACUCAUGUAAUUUAGCUUUACAUAAUAGCCUUGAGUGAAUAGGGCUGCCAAAGUUAAAAUAUUUUGUGAGCAGGUUAGUUUUUGUUAUUGUUCCUCAGUUUCUACCACUGAAUUAGGCUUUCUUUGAUAAGAAUAAAAACUUAGAGGGUUUCUGAUGCUUAUAACGAACUUGCUAAACUGUUGCCAUUUUGCAACAUCUGCUAUAAUUCCCCUAAAUCCAGAUUUGUCUGACACAGAGAGGCCUGUUCUUACAUCAUUGCCAUGUGACAGUAUAACACCAGUCACAUCAAGCUUGAGGAUUGCAGCUUCAGGCUAUGAUAAUAUGAAGAAAACCUUUUUGCCUAGGGCAAAACACUUGUAACAAAGUAUUAUUCAUCUGGCCAAUUUAAAUCUUCUCUCAAAAAGGUACCCAGAAACAUAUGCAGUAUGCCUUUGUAAAAGGCUUGAGCAGCUCAUAGGCAAAUGACCUGAACCAAGAGCACAAAACCUAAUGUCCUGAUUAAUUACUGCUAAGCGGCUCUGAUACACAGAAAAGAGAAUGCUGGUACUAAUCCUUAACCCUGUCCUACAUUCUCAAAAUAGCCAAAACAUUGCUGACAGUUGCAAACACAAACCUGUCCUUUUUUUUUUUUUUUUUUUAAGGUUAUACAUCAUCACUUGGUGCCUCCACCUAAGUCAAACCAGGAUGCAGACAGAUUAGAGAGUUACCAGUCCAGGGGGCUUCUUGGGGCAAGGCUCAUAGAAAGGAAAUCUGAAGGGGAAAAAACCAACAUCAAUAACACAGAAUGCCCCAACAGAAAUAUUCGGGGUGUUCUCGGGGUGUUCUUGCUUUCAGGGUUCAGCUUCCAAGAGACAGAGCUUCUCUGGAAAUUGCUCCUUAAGAGUUGAGAACCUCAAUACAGAAAUGCUUUACUGAUUCACUUGGAGCAGAGAAGUUUGCUAUGCUUAGAAUUUUAUUAGGGAAGGAUGUUUGAAUUUCUCUUGACUAUGAAAAUAAGAGCAUGCUUCUAUUUCAUGAUAAAUACCAGACAUUAGAAAUUCAAACUAUUUCAAUUGGAAGCCUAUCUUGGUUUUAUCAGUCACUCAAAUUAUAUCUACCUUUAUUAAGAAAGCAGGUAUCUGGAGUCCCUGUCACUCUUGCUGAGCAAGAAAUACAUGCUUAAACAAAGAAAGUCCUGUGUAAGAAAAGUUGCUUCUCUUAGCAGUUUUCUGGGUUUUGUUUUUUUAAUCUAAGGUCAUUAAAAUGCUCAUCUUGCUAUCAGCCAUAACACCAUUACUUUGCAGGUAAAUCAAAAUAGUUUUCUUGCACUUUAGGUAAAGCAUGGCAUGUUAAUAGCACUUCUUCAAAACAAAUAAUAAUCCUUCUCUAUUUUGAAGACUGCUCUUAAUUCGACAUUAUUCUUCAGGCACACCCCCUACUCCUGAGCUCUAGCAAAUAGAGGCUGAGGUUCUGAAGGGCCAGUCUAACUGGAGUGAGGGUCACUUUACCCACAGGCUGCCUCUAAUACAAAGGAGAAGAGACAUACUUUCACCUGCAGUGCACCCACUGUCAAAGUCUAACUCCAUUUUAGAUUGUCAAGAAUUUUUCUGUGUGUGUGCACAUUGUUGUAGAUACAAGCAUUUUCACAUGCCACAGCUUCCUACCUCGUGUUUAACAGACUGCACAGGAAAUGAGUUUUCCACCUGUCCAGAUCAAGUGAUGCCCAAGCAAAUGCAUACUGCUGGUUCAGCAUUGCAGCUUGAGCUUGAUGAUCUGUGUUUUCUUAAGGGCACCAAGCCCUGUUUCUCUUUGUACCUUUUUGCUUCAUUUCCUCACUCAUUUUCUCUGCCUCUGCCUUCAUCAGCUGGUCCCCAUGUGAUACACUUUGAUUUCUCAUCAUUACUCAAGCCCCUUCUUUCUGAAUUUAGGUAACUCACCUUCUCAUGAAUGAGGGUGUAACUUUGAAGUCAAUCCAGCUUGGUUCCUAACAUCCCUAUAAUUCUGAGCACCAUCUGCCUCUGGACAUGAUGACCAUUGAUGGAGAUUGUCCCUCCCUGAAGCCUGAAGCUCUGACUCUCUUCAGAGGCAGAGUAAAGAACCAAAUCUUGCUGCUUCUCAGGGCUGGGCAUCCAAUUUGAUAAUCCUUCAGAGGAGAAAAAUUUUUUAUUGUCUUCCAAGACUGAUACCAUGCAGGGGUGGGGUGGGCUGGAAGAUUUCUCCUCUCUUAGCUAGUUGCUGAUUUUUUUGCAGAUUAAAAAAUAUAAAUUAAGAAGUUUGAGGGAGUUCCCUUUGUGGCUCAGCAGUUAAUGAACCCA